AUGGGAGAAGUUGACCCAGCUUUCAUGCAAGACCCUGAACACAGGCCCAAACUCUCCAAUAUCGAAGCUGAAGGGAUACCAUUAAUUGACCUCUCUGCAAUUAACUAUCCAAACUCCAGUCCUGACCCAGAAGCUAGAGCAUAAAUUGUUAGAGAAGUAGGCAGUGCAUGCAAGGAAUGGGGGUUCUUCCAAGUGAUCAACCAUGGGGUGUCAUUGGAUAAGCUCCAAAAGAUUGAGGCUGCUGCUAAGAAGUUCUUUGCUUUGCCUUUGGAGGAUAAGAGGAAGAUCAGGAGAGACCUGAACAAUGUGUUAGGGUACUUUGACACAGAGAACACCAAGAAUAUUCGGGACUGGAAGGAGGUGUUUGAUUUUGAUGUGGAAGACCCUACUUUAGUCCCAGCUUCACCUGAUCCUGAGGUUGACAAAGAGACUGAGUGGACUAAUCAAUGGCCUGAGCAUCCUCCAGAAAUGAGGGAAACAUGUCAAGAAUAUGCUGGAGAAGUUGAAAAGCUAGCUCUAAAGUUGAUGGGACUUGUUGCCUUAAGUCUGGGAUUGCCAGAAGACAGGUUCAAAGGCUACUUCAAAGACCAAACCACUCGUAUCAGACUCAAUCACUAUCCGCCUUGCCCAUCUCCAGAGUUGGCUCUUGGUGUUGGUCGCCAUAAGGAUGGUGGCGCUCUAACUGUGCUAGCUCAAGAUGAUGUUGGAGGAUUAGAAGUGAAGAGAAAAACAGAUGGAGAGUGGGUUAGGGUAAAUCCCACCCCAAAUGCUUAUAUCAUCAAUCUUGGUGACACUCUUCAGGUUUGGAGCAAUGAGAGAUAUGAAAGUACAGAACACAGGGUGAUGGUGAAUUCAAAGAAGGAAAGGUUUUCUAUCCCCUACUUCCUUGAGCCAUCACACUACACCGUAACAAGGCCCCUGGAAGAGCUGAUCAAUGAACAAAAUCCGGCCAAGUAUAGGCCAUACAGCUGGGGCAAGUUUAUGACUCACAGAAAGCUGAGUAAUUUCAAGAAACUCAACGUUGAAAACAUCCAAAUUCAUCAUUUCAGGAUAUAG